UCUUCUCGGANCUGCUGUCCAACCUGUAC
rnacentral:piRNA from 1 species